AAAUUUAGAGUUUGAUCCUGGCUCAGGACGAACGCUGGCGGCGUGCUUAACACAUGCAAGUCGAGCGAUGAAGCUUCCUUCGGGAAGUGGAUUAGCGGCGGACGGGUGAGUAACACGUGGGUAACCUACCUCAAAGUGGGGGAUAGCCUUCCGAAAGGAAGAUUAAUACCGCAUAAUAUGAGAGAAUCGCAUGAUUUUCUUAUCAAAGAUUUAUCGCUUUGAGAUGGACCCGCGGCGCAUUAGCUAGUUGGUAAG
rnacentral:rRNA from 1 species